GAUGAACGCUGACAGAAUGCUUAACACAUGCAAGUCUUUGGCGAAGCUGUGCUUGCACAGCCUAGCCAAGGCGGACGGGUGAGUAACGCGUAAGGAACUUGCCCUGCAGUCAGGGAUAACAGACGGAAACGACUGAUAAGACCUGGUAAAGUCAGGCGGACUCAUGUCCAGCCUGAUGAAAAGUGAUGCUGCAGGAGAGCCUUGCGUCCUAUUAGCUUGUUGGUGGGGUAACGGCCCACCAAGGCGGUGAUAGGUAGCCGGCCUGAGAGGGUGGACGGCCACAAGGGGACUGAGAUACGGCCCUUACUCCUACGGGAGGCAGCAGUGGGGAAUAUUGGACAAUGGGGGCAACCCUGAUCCAGCAAUUCUGUGUGCACGAUGAAGGUUUUCGGAUUGUAAAGUGCUUUCAGCAGGGAAGAAAAAAAUGACGGUACCUGCAGAAGAAGCGACAGCUAAAUACGUG
rnacentral:rRNA from 1 species